rnacentral:rRNA from 1 species
GUCUUCGCCAUGCUACCCUGAACACGCCCGAUCUCGUCUGAUCUCGGAAGCUAAGCGAGGUCGGGCCUGGUUAGUUCUUGGAUGGGGGACCACCUAGGAAGACCGGGUGCUGUAGGCG